CGAAAGCGUGGGGAGCGAACAGGAUUAGAUACCCUGGUAGUCCACGCCGUAAACGUUGGGCGCUAGAUGUGGGUCACAUUCCACGUGAUCCGUGUCGCAGCUAACGCAUUAAGCGCCCCGCCUGGGGAGUACGGCCGCAAGGCUAAAACUCAAAGGAAUUGACGGGGGCCCGCACAAGCGGCGGAGCAUGCGGAUUAAUUCGAUGCAACGCGAAGAACCUUACCAAGGCUUGACAUAUACAGGAAAACUGCAGAAAUGUAGUCCCCCGCAAGGGUCUGUAUACAGGUGGUGCAUGGUUGUCGUCAGCUCGUGUCGUGAGAUGUUGGGUUAAGUCCCGCAACGAGCGCAACCCUCGUCCUAUGUUGCCAGCACGUUAUGGUGGGAACUCAUGGGAGACUGCCGGGGUCAACUCGGAGGAAGGUGGGGAUGACGUCAAAUCAUCAUGCCCCUUAUGUCUUGGGCUUCACGCAUGCUACAAUGGCCGGUACAAAGGGCUGCAAUACCGCAAGGUGGAGCGAAUCCCAAAAAGCCGGUCUCAGUUCGGAUUGAGGUCUGCAACUCGACCUCAUGAAGUCGGAGUCGCUAGUAAUCGCAGAUCAGCAACGCUGCGGUGAAUACGUUCCCGGGCCUUGUACACACCGCCCGUCAAGUCACGAAAGUC
rnacentral:rRNA from 1 species